ACUGUAUCUAUUGCAUGGUGUGGCCGUUUGCUGCAACGAUCCUCUCACCAGGAUCAGGCGGCGGCUAAAACGAAUGGGAUAUCCAAGUCCCGCGCGACCGGCACUGUGUACGUGAGGCCAUUCCGAAGCGGCUUAGGCCGCCUGGACGAAAGUCCGCCAUUGCAGGGGUCAGUCCCUGUGAGAAGGUAGGAAAUGGACGCAGAGAGCUACGCUCUCAUAACGUAAGUCAGGAGACUUGCACCAUGGCAGGAUGCAGG
rnacentral:ncRNA from 2 species